GAAAACUCAUCUGGUGAUUUCUUAGAAGAAGCCAAAAGGCAACAUGAACAUCACACAGUCUUUCAAUUUUUCUCAUCCAUAAUGUUGAUCUUAGACUUUAAAGCUACAUGUCAGGAUACAGUUAUACAAAAUAGAGAGCCAAAGUAUACCCUAAGAAGAUCUCCAAUCUGUGGCCUGGUGACACAGUGGUGCAGCAGCCUUCCCAAAGAUAAUAUCAGACAGGAGCUCUCCUUUACACUGAGCUCCCAGCACAACCUUUCUCAAUAGCAUAUAGCAAAGGGCUAACGUAGGCAGCGAUAGGAGCCUAGCGUUAGCCCUACGCUAUUUGCGUAGUACUGCGCAUGCGCAGAAUAAAUUAACUUUGGGGGAGUAGCCGACUCUGGGCUGGGAGGCUGGCACAGCCCGCAGUGACUCAUGGGAGCGAUGAGUCACCGGGCUAAGAUGGCGGCGUUGCAGAAGAAACAGCGGUCGAGCGUCAUAGAUUGAAGAAAAAGGAGCCAGCUUCCAUUAGGAGGAGAAAUGCGGGAGAAGACCAGGAAAAGAGCGAUAUGGAUAAGAUAAUUUUCUGCAUCUUCGCUUUGCCACUCCUGAAAUGAUAUCCUGCUAACAGAUCAAAGGUACGACAACCCUAAGAAGCAAAGAUGAGGUAUAUUCCUUCGUUCUUGGAGUAACAUACAGCUGCAGAAGUUAAUGGGGUAUUCCAGAGGAAAUUUUUUUUUCAAAUGAACUAGAGACAAAAAGAGGCACAGAUUUGUAAAUUACUUCUAUCUACAAAUCUCAAGCCUUUCAGUACUUUCCAGCUGCUGUAUGGGAUACUUACAUACCCCAGUCCCCUAGAGCCCCUACUCUAGUGACUUUCAGUCCUCCACUGCACAUCUCUUCUCCCUUCUUCAGAGAUGACAUGUCGAAAGAGGACCUGCCCACUCAGCCAAUCACUAUCUGCAGCUGUCAUUAAUUGCCCAAGUGGACAGGUACUGUUCUGACAGAUCAUCUCAGAAAAAGGA